rnacentral:rRNA from 1 species
UACGUAGGUGGCAAGCGUUACUCGGAAUCACUAGGCGUAAAGCGCAGGUAGGCGGUUCGGUAAGUCUUUUGUGAAAGCUCCCGGCUCAACUGGGAGAGGUCAAAGGAAACUACCGGGCUAGAAUGUGGUAGGGGAAACUGGAAUUCCUGGUGUAGCGGUGAAAUGCGUAGAUAUCAGGAGGAACACCUAUGGCGAAAGCAGGUUUCUGGGCCAUCACUGACGCUGAGCUGCGAAAGCUAGGGGAGCAAACAGG